rnacentral:rRNA from 1 species
AACCCUCUGCUACGCCUAACAGUCCACACAAAUUACACACCCCAUGCCUUUUACACAAAUCAUUUGCCACAGAAAGUAAAUGCGAUUAACCUCUGUCAUCCUAGCGCCAUAGCGAACAGUACCGCAAGGGACGAAUGAAAAAAAAAUGAUAUACUAAGUACACCACAGCAGUGUUAAAUACACGUACCUUUUGCAUCACGGCUUAGCAAGUCUCCGCAUAUAAAAUGAAUUUCAAUAUGCCCCCCCGAAAAGAAGUGAGCUAUUUUAAAGCAGCAACUCGUGCGAACCCGUCUCUGUAGCAAAAGAGUGGGACGACUUUAAAAUAGAGGUGACAAGUCUAACGAACUUCUAGAUAGCUGGUUGCUUAGUAAAUGAAUAUAAGUUCAACUCUAAAUUUCCACUGCAUUACUUUUAGCCUCAAAAAAAUUUAGAAGCUAUUUGAUCGAGGUACAGCUCGAUCAAACAAGGAUACAGCCUUUGCCGAGAGAAACCUCCCUAAAACAUACCCAUGGUGUAAGCCCUAAAGCCGCUAUCACCCACCAUCGCGUCAAAGCGAAACAUAACAAAAUCAGAUACUACUACAGCUACUCCGGACAACCUACCAAGCUAUUCCAUGCUACCAUGGAAGAACUACUGCUAGGACUAGUAAAAUGGCAUUACCCUCUCUGCAUCCCCAUAAAUCACACACUACUUAAUAGACUACAAAAAGGAAAAUCACCACCACCAAGCCAUGUGAUUAACUAAACUAUUAACCCGACACAGGAGUGCAUGAAAGAAAGAAAAAAUAUUAUGAAAGGAACUCGACAACCACCGAUUUCAACUGUUUACCAAAAACAUAGCCUUUAGCCCAACACAGUAUUAAAGGUCUCGCCUGCCCGGUGAUUCACUUUUAACGGCCGCGGUAUCCUAACCGUGCAAAGGUAGCGCAAUCAUUUGUUCUUUAAAUGAGGACUAGUAUGAAUGGCGCCAUGAAAAUCGAUUUGUCUCUCGUAGUAGUUCUAUGAACCUGAUCUCCCAGUACAAAAGCUGGAAUAUAAUCAUAAGACGAGAAGACCCUGUGGAGCUUUAAACUUCUACUCAACUUCAUGAUUUAGCAGUUUUCGGUUGGGGCGACCCUGGAGACAAACAAAACCUCCAGAAAACUACACACUAGGCCGACAGGCCAAUCCUGCAAUGACCCAAUAAAAUUGACUAUUGAACCAAGUUACCCCAGGGAUAACAGCGCAAUCUUCUUCAAGAGUCCAUAUCGACAAGAGGGUUUACGACCUCGAUGUUGGAUCAGGAUGUCCAAAUAGUGCAGACGCUAUUAAUUGGUUCGUUUGUUCAACGAUUAAAAUCCUACGUGAUCUGAGUUCAGACCGGAGUAAUCCAGGUCGGUUUCUAUCUAUGCAUGCUACUUUCUUAGUACGAAAGGAUCAGAAAGCAAGGACCAAUAAUAAAAUUACGUCCUACAACUACCAGCUGAUUAAAAUCUGAAGCUGUCAGCAUAACAAAAAGUAGUAGACAAUUACUU